AAUGAGUUUUAUACAAGUCUUCUAAAUUUGUUAUAGGUUUUCCUGCUCAUUUUUGUAU
rnacentral:tRNA from 1 species